GAUCAAGAUAAACAACAAUCAGACUUAAAUCGGGGAAAAACAAAAGCUUUGGAAUAGUCUUCAACUCUACUUUUGGCGACUAUAGUUAUCGAGGUGCUAGUCUUGAAUGUCCUACCGAUGACUGAAGUCCUGAAUUUUUUGCGGAUUCUCCAUAGCUCGGGUAAGCAGCAUCGUGUAGCUAACAUUUCGACCCACAACUCGUGUGGCAGACCCAUUUCAUAACUCGUGUAAUCGCUAUUGAAAAGGAAAGGUUACAGCUAUAUGGAAAGGCACAGUAUAUGUGAGCAUUCCCGAAUAUCCAAUGAAAUUCUAGAUGGUUCAACGGAUUGUUGGAAGUUUGAUCAAUUAGAAGCUUGUCGGAGUUCUAUCACACUAUCCAGCAAUCACUUCGGUAGUUUUUGAGUUAUUUUGGCUAAGGUUAUAAAUGGCAUGUAUGGGAUUUUAUAUAAUGAUAGCUUUUGAAUAUGCUAAUGAUCAAUUUGGUAUGAAUAUGACUUUUAUGUAUACAUUUUGUUUGUGUGGACUUAUGGUAUUUUGGAAAGUUUAUGUCCUUUUGUCACUUUUAAAUACUUUGUAAUAUUUGGUGUAGUUGGUUUGUUUAUAUAUUAAAAGCCAUAUGAAUAUGGUUAUUUUGGUAUGUUUUUUAUGAAAGGUGACUGGUUUGACAAUUGAUGUCAUUAGGUAGCUAAAUUGACUAUGUUUUGUGCUUGAGUUGUGGCAUUAUAGAUUUGUUUUCAUUGAAGUUGUUUUGGUAUAAAUGAGGUGCCUUUGAAUGGCAUAUUGGCUAGGAGAAUUAGAUUAAAUGAAUUGAGGAGAGUCAAAUUGAAUGAAUUGGUAUGUUUAUAUGUGUUUGAAAUGUGUUUAGGUCUGUUGAAUGUAUGCACAAAUGGAGUAGAUGGAUGGGAAAGUUUUGGACUUAAAAUGGUUUGUUU